AUAUCAUUCCUUCAAUCCGAUAUUUUUUUAUGCCUUCCUAAAAAACACAGUACUUUAAAGACCAAGUGUAGAAGUUUGCAGCCAAGCUAUUCAUUUACUGAAAUUACUCUAUUUGCAGCCAAGCUAUUGUGUACAAUCUUACAUGGGUCAUGCUUCCUAUGUCAUGUCCCUUGAUUAGCCUAUUUUCACGCACCCGGAUUUCCAAGGUUGUGCGCGUCUAGCUCUGUUAUUUCUUUUUCCAUCAUUUGUGUUUCUAGAGGUGUAAUUUUGAAGUCAAUCUUCUCGUGUUUCGUGCACAGCAAGAAGGCGGUGGUCAAGUGAGGUUUGAACCUAUAACUGGAAAACUGUUGGCAUCUGCAUCAGACAAGGUGGUUUCCAUAGUUGAUGUUGAAACCGACAAGCCAACACACUCUUUUCACGUUUUUUCAUUAUAUUUACAUCUCGGUGAGGAGUUGAAGUAAUUAAUGAAAUGUUUAGUGCAGGGCAUUUUGGCGUGGUCAAUAACAUUUGCUGGGAUAUUAAUGGAGACCACUUGGCUUCUGUGAGUGAGGACUGCGUUAAAAUCUGGAGAGCGCAUUCAUGAGCUUUAACUCCAAUGAGAACCAAUUCUACUCUUGUGUUUUUCAUCCAAGUUAUUCUUCUCUCUU